rnacentral:lncRNA from 1 species
GAUAACCAAAAUAUAUCACAUAAGACCAUUGAACCAAGUUUCAGAAAUGAAAUUAAAAAAACUUACAAUAAGAUUUGAAAUUCAUAGAGUGAAGGCAAAUUGCUUUUGAAACGACCUUCAGCUUAUAAGCACCAGUUCCUAUUGUUCGACUUCGAUCGAAUGAAGAACCCAAUAAAAUUAAAAUUAAUUCUUAAUGAAACGCCUGCAAUUAAACAUAGGAUUAAUUAAGACAAUGAAUAGAUCCUGUAUUAUAGACAAUGAUAAACAAUUUUGUUCUUUAGUUGAAGAAAGUGAAUGAAAUAAUAAUACUAAACUUCAUCUUUAACUUAUUGGACACAAUUUUGCACUUCUAUGUAACCAUGUUUCACUUUUUCCUUUUGAAAUGGACACAAUUUUGCACUUCUAUGUAACCACCCCUGUAUAAAAGUAAACCUUAUUGAGUUUAAAAUAGGGUGAAUAUUUCAAUCUGUUAGAAAUUUGCAAGAACUGUUACAUAACCAUCACAUUUGUUGUCAUUAAUACCUUCGACCAUCUUUUGUAAUACUUUAACAGCAAGAGUAUCAAAAAGUUAGAAAAAAGGCAUUUAUUGUCAUCACUUUUGACACGUGCGUUUUCUUGAAAUCGGUCUCAUUAGAAAGUACUCUUGUUCAACAAAAUGCAAUUACAGUAGAUCAAGCUCACUAAUAUUGAACUUUAACCUACUUUAUGUAGGACCUCUCUUUUUAAAACAAUUAUAAUGAAACUAAACAACAAAAUCAAUUUGAAAUAAAGGGGAAUACCAAAGUUUAUACCUCGGACACCAAAUAAGUUGUUUUUGUAAUCAUUAUAUUCAAAGGUUAAUACAAAUUAUGUCAUGAUAUUAUACCAAACAACUCAAUUAACUCCAGUAAGUCAAUGAUUAUCGCUUCAAAAUACACAAGCGACUUGAGAUUACAAAAGACGAUAAGCAAAAGAAAAGUAAGUAGACAGGGAGAGGCCUAAAAUAGAGAAAAUUUGAUUCACAUAUAUACAAACUUACACCAAUUGAGUAUAUAAUACCCUUUUUUAUGAUGAAAAAUUCAAUUCAAAUGAAACUGAAAGUAUUUUUUUGGUUUAGUUGACAAUACCAGAAAUUGUUGAGGGUCUGGCCACGUUGGGAGCUUUCUCUUCGCUUCCCAAAACUUUAAAGUUGUUAUUGAACCCAUAUAUAAUAGCACCAAGCUCCAUAAGGUCGAACACCUUGAAUAUAUAUAGAUGGUUUGCUCUUAAUCAUGUUGACAUAAUCCAUGCUACCACUUUUUGUGAUGAUACUUGGCUUGGUA